CCGAUUUCCGAAUGGAUCUUUUAAGAUCUCGUCGUGGGCGUUCAUUAGCCCAGAUUUUCGUAGCCAUCCUCAUCAUUCAACUGGUCACCGCUCUCGGAAGCAAGAAGAUACAAGUAAAUAGCGAUUGAAUUCGUCGAGACUUUUUUGUGUAAUUGAAAAGCACUAUCUGAAGUUCUUUGAGCACUGUAUUAGGGAUGUUGCUGCGUCGGAUGUGUCAGACGAGACGCAACUGCGACCGGUGAAGAUUGUCAGCGCAUUCAUGCGUGCACUUUGUAUAGUGUGCAUGGGUCGCAGCGCUGUCCUUACCGCGAUAGGUAACGCAAAGUACAAAUUCUUGAAGAAUUGAUCCUCUUCGAAUGGCUUCGGGACGCGACAUUCGAGUCUCCCGAGGUGCCGCCGUAACAACUGCUGUGACGCGCGUGCAGCCAAACGGCGAGUCCAACUACCGGCAACGCGGCCUCCAAAUGCGCAAGUCUUUGGGCUCGACAGCACCUGCACCCACAACAGAAAUAGACAUCCGGAAUAGUAUCUUCUGUUCAUUACUAAGUGUAUGAAGCAUGGUAAUGCUUUGAAGUAUGUACCAAAAUAAGUCUCUGACAUGAGCUAUGGCAAGCGAAGUGAGCAUCGUAAGAAGUGAAGAGACAACUGGAAGGAAGAGCUUGUCAAAGACACAUCUCCACAGAGGGUUGAAGCAUCGGAGGGUCAAACUCUCUAAGCAGUUGGUCACGCAAAGCGAGCAUGCCUGUUUGAUCCUGAACACUGGCUCUAACUGGUGGAAAGAACGCGCGUAGAAGUGCAGGAACUUGCCUAAAGUUUUCAAUUGCAGUGCCUAAUAUCAAAGCUUCAGUCAAUCACACAACUUCACUUUCUACAUGCAGCUGUAGUUCAUCUCCCUCUUCCCCUAACAGUAGCUCAACUAAGGGCUGCACAACAUCGUUUGCCUUGAAAUCCGAGUCCUUGCGUUUUCUUGUUAACAAGUGUUGCCACCAGCACAAUAUGUGUCUUAGUUCAAAAGCCUA